rnacentral:sRNA from 1 species
AUCGCUUGAACCCAGGAGGCAGAGGUUUCAGUGAGCCAAGAUCAUGCCAUUGCACUCCAGCCUGGGCAACAAGAGCGAAAUUCCACCUCAAAAAAAAAAGAAAGAAAAAAAGAGGAUGACAACACUGUUUUGGGGAGCAGGAAUGGGAGCCGCAGCCAGGAAGAGGAAAUAGGGAUGUGGGAUUUAUGGAGACAGGAACAGGGUCUGGGAGCCAGCGAUGAGGAAGUCCUCUCAAUAGCUAAAGCAGGGCCCAGGCUUGGUUCCCCAAAGCUGAGGGCAAAGCCUGUGGACACAGCUGCCCUCUGCAUCCUGCCUCACCUCCUAUACGCCCGUCCUCAGGUUCUGGCCUGCCAUUGACGAUGGGCUGCGGCGGGCCGCCUACGAGCGUGGCGUCAAGGUGCGCCUGCUCAUCAGCUGCUGGGGACACUCGGAGCCAUCUAUGCGGGCCUUCCUGCUCUCCCUGGCUGCCCUGCGUGACAACCAUACCCACUCUGACAUCCAGGUGAAACUCUUUGUGGUCCCCGCGGAUGAGGCCCAGGCUCGAAUCCCAUAUGCCCGUGUCAACCACAAUAAGUACAUGGUGACUGAACGCGCCACCUACAUCGGAACCUCCAACUGGUCUGGCAACUACUUCACGGAGACGGCGGGCACCUCGCUGCUGGUGACGCAGAAUGGGAGGGGCGGCCUGCGCAGCCAGCUGGAGGCCAUUUUCCUGAGGGACUGGGACUCCCCUUACAGCCAUGACCU